rnacentral:misc_RNA from 1 species
UACGAAGGUCCCAAGCGUUGUUCGGAUUUACUGGGCGUAAAGCGUCUGUAGGCGGUAUGGUAAGUCAGAUGUGAAAGCCCGGGGCUCAACCUCGGAAAUGCAUCCGAUACUGCCGUACUAGAGGAUCGGAGGGGAGUCUGGAAUUCACGGUGUAGCAGUGAAAUGCGUAGAUAUCGUGAGGAACACUAGUGGCGAAGGCGAGACUCUGGACGAUUCCUGACGCUGAGAGACGAAGGCCAGGGUAGCGAAAAGG